rnacentral:rRNA from 1 species
GGCGGACGGGUGAGUAACACGUAGGUAACCUGCCUCUUAGUGGGGGACAACGGUCCGAAAGGACCGCUAAUACCGCAUACGUCUCCUGGGGCUUCGGCCCUGGGAGGGAAAGCUGGGCAACUGGCGCUAAGAGAGGGGCCUGCGUCGCAUCAGCUAGUUGGUGGGGUAACGGCCUACCAAGGCGAAGACGCGUAGCUGGUCUGAGAGGAUGAUCAGCCACACUGGGACUGAGACACGGCCCAGACUCCUACGGGAGGCAGCAGUGGGGAAUAUUGGACAAUGGGGGAAACCCUGAUCCAGCCACGCCGCGUGAGUGAUGAAGGCCUUCGGGUCGUAAAGCUCUGUGGGGAGGGACGAACGUCCCGGCGUAGAGCCGGGGGUGACGGUACCUCCUUAGCAAGCACCGGCUAACUUCGUGCCAGCAGCCGCGGUAAUACGAAGGGUGCAAACGUUGCUCGGAAUCAUUGGGCGUAAAGCGCACGUAGGCGGCCCCGCAAGUCGGAUGUGAAAUCCCUCGGCUCAACCGAGGACGUGCAUCCGAAACUGCA